CUGCAGGUUAUUAAGCUGACUGGUCUCGCUACAGUGCGGUUCUGGUGUGCAAAACCUGCAGACAGUGACUCUUUGGUUGUGUAUGUUCUCAACUGGGAGGUGCUGUAUACACCC